UGGGGAAUAUUGCACAAUGGGCGAAAGCCUGAUGCAGCGACGCCGCGUGCGGGAUGAAGGCCUUCGGGUUGUAAACCGCUUUUGAUUGGGAGCAAGCGAGAGUGAGUGUACCUUUCGAAUAAGCACCGGCUAACUACGUGCCAGCAGCCGCGGUAAUACGUAGGGUGCAAGCGUUAUCCGGAAUUAUUGGGCGUAAAGAGCUCGUAGGCGGUUUGUCGCGUCUGGUGUGAAAGUCCAUCGCUUAACGGUGGAUCUGCGCCGGGUACGGGCAGGCUAGAGUGCGACAGGGGGAGACUGGGAAUUCCCG
rnacentral:rRNA from 1 species